GACAGAGGAGCCAAGCGUUGUCCGGAGUAACUGGGCGUAAAGCGCACGCAGGCGGUUCGGUGCGUGGGUGUGAAAGCGCUGGGCUUAACUCAGCGAGGCCACCUCAUAUGGCCGAUCUGGAGCCCUGCAGAGGUCCACGGAAUUGCCGGUGUAGUGGUGAAAUGCGUAGAGAGUCGGCAGGAACACCCAGGGGAAACCAGUGGACUGGCACGGUGC
rnacentral:rRNA from 1 species